GUGCUCACUUCCACAGCAUAUAUACUAAAACUGAAAUGAUACAGAGAAGACUAGCAUGGCCCUGUGCAAGGAUGACACACAAAUUUGUGAAACAUUUCAUAUUUGU
rnacentral:snRNA from 1 species